rnacentral:rRNA from 1 species
AUCAUCCCACAUAUAAUCUACUUAAUUCUCCAAUGGAAUACAAUAGUGAAAAAGUGAUUAGUGAUAUGGCAGGUAUCUUAUUCAAUAAGGAUAUCGGGACGAAUGGAAUGUUUUAUUUUUUAUUUUUAUAAUUGGCAAAACAAGUUAAAUCAAUAUUCAUGUAUAGCGCCUUUGUAAUAUAUCACAAAGUAGAUUGAAAAUCCCUUGUCUUCGUGGUUCACUUCACCAUUUGCAUCGACUUCGUUUUGACCGAUUUGAUAUAUUCCAUAAGUCUUGAAACCAAAGUAUUCAUACAUCGACUUUACUCUCUCAUUGAUACAUUCUAGGCUAGCGCACAAUUUUAAUCAUCACAUUUUUUCUUGUAUAACUUAAAUACCCUUCUACCCUUUUCCUCCCUGCACCGUAAAAUCUUUUCCCAAGAAAAUAAAUAAUAGUAAUUAAUAUCUUUUAAAUAUUUCUUCCCGUAAAAUGAUCCUCGAUCAACAAACGCUCCACUAAAAGUUAGAUCUGAGAUACACCACAAACGCAUUUUCGUUUGACGACACAUGCUCUUCUUCUUCCUC